rnacentral:lncRNA from 1 species
UAAGGUAUUUUUAAAUGGUUAUAAUCAUAUAUUUUACAUGUACUGUCAAAAAGCUUAAAUAAAAGCUGAAAUAAAUGCUAAUUGAAAGAAAAUGUAUAUGAUGUGCAACAAAAAAGUCAGCGAGAGGUAGAGCAGCUGAGCAGCUCUGCGGUGUACUGACUUCAUGUCCCCAUGGAACUCCAGUCUCACAACAAGGAUGAGGUGAACCCAACAUAUCUGGAAUGUCACUGCCCUGGGUGGCCCCUCUGGCUCUACAGGGAUGCCAGCCCCUGCCAAGCCCCUCCCAGCCAUGACCCCCCAGGGCUCUAAGGACGAGGCCCUGUUCAGCCCUUGUGCAAGCUGGCUUCAGCCAUUUCAGGUGUGGUCUCUAGGCUGGGAGAUUUUGCGACCUGCCCUGGCCACUGCUGAUGCGUCCAGCCUCCUCUCCAAAGUGGAAGGCAGGGAGGACAGCAGGCUCUUUUAGACCCAUACACUCCACGUUAGGAAACACGGAGUUUGAAAAAUAAAAACACGU